rnacentral:rRNA from 1 species
GACGUAGGGCGCAAGCGUUGUCCGGAUUUAUUGGGCGUAAAGAGCUCGUAGGCGGCUUGUCGCGUCGACUGUGAAAACCCGUGGCUCAACCAUGUGGUCUGCAGUCGAUACGGGCAGGCUAGAAUUCGGUAGGGGAGACUGGAAUUCCUGGUGUAGCGGUGAAAUGCGCAGAUAUCAGGAAGAACACCCGUGGCGAAGGCGGCUCUCUGGGACGGUACUGACGCUGAGACGCGAAAGCGUGGGGAGCGAACAGG